AGAAAUUAGGUACAUAUAUGGAUAAAUAUAUUGUCCUAUAUAAUGGCAUUUGCCAUUCUGGUAAGGUACAUUGUCUAUUGUAUAGGACAGGAAGCCAGAGUGGGGCCAUGGGAGAGGGCAACACCUAGGGCAGCUGGACAUGCAAAGGUCAGAGGUUAUCUAAGGAGGGGGUCAGCCAAAGUACCAAUUGAUGGAUUACAGACAUCAAUCACAUCACAGGAGACAAGUCUGUUUGAUCUUAGACAACCAUAUGAAGAGAAGGCGACCAGAACAGCUAGGCACCCUAAAGCUAAAGGAGAUGAAAGACACCAAAAGGGACACAUGGAGUUAAUUACAGGGUAUGAACACAGGCCACAGGAAAGGGGAAUGUAUAGUAUUUUUAGUAUAGCUGAGCAUGCUAAAAACAGAAGAGACACAUAGUGUGCUGACCCUAGAUAACACACAAACAGGAGAACGCAUUAAGCUGAGUGAAGGGUCAAAGCAAGGGUCUUGUCACCAUUAGGAUCUAAUGGAAAGCAGAUGGGGGUGUUAUUGGGCUGAACAAGCAGGAAGCACGGAUUGGGAUGUAACUUAAUUUGCAUAUGGGAGGGACUUAUAUGGUAGGUGUAUAACUCAGAGCGAGGGCUCUGAAAAAGUGUGUGUGUUCCGCGGACCGCUCUGGCUUAUGAUACUGUUGUAUUAAAAGUCUAUAUUGAUUUUCACAAAGUUCUUGGUUGUGUCAUAUUUGAACCGAUUUGCCACUACAUAAUUGGCGAGCUUGCCAGGAGAAUUAGGGACUGAAUAACGUUCUUGGCUGGCAGCGGGAUCUUUGGACGAUCUGGGCAAACAAGGGUGGCCACCCAGCUAAGGUAAGACAACAGUGAAAUGUUUGCGUAGAUCGCUUCAGAGAUCCUGCCUCAGCAAGAGGAGCGUCAAGUAGGUCUCUCUCUCUCAAAUUUCCUAAAAACUAUAGAAACGAAAGAACUUUUUGAAAUUCAAUGAAUUUGCAUGCAUGUGUGUAAGCUUGGAAAUUGUAUAAUGAAUGUGCAUGCAUGUCUAGUGAGUAAGUAGGUGGGGGCUGUGAACUUCGCUGGUGUAGGGUGUGUUAUUCUGGCAUGUUGGGGCUGGGAUUGGGCACAGGGUUACAGCUAUCUGCUUAUAAGGUUUGAAUAAAAUAAGUAGUUAUAGAAGUCCUGCGAUACCGCUUCAAAAUAUUUACCAGAAGGUCUGAAUGGGUAGGUUACUUUAUUGAUAAGUAAUCCUGCGAUACCGCUUCAAAAUAUUUAGCUGAAGGACUGAAUGGGUAGGCUACUUUAUUGAUAAGUAGAUAGAUAAACAUUCAUGGCUACCGCUUCAAGGAAAAGGUCUGUACGGAUGAGUAUUUAGAAAAUAAAUACACAUGGCUACCGCUUUGAAAUGAAGGUCUGUACGGGUGAAUAUUUAAAACACAGAAAGAACGCUGGCCUGAUUGUGCGACGUUCAACUGAAAAAGGAAAUCCUGCGAAUAUAAAACGCUCCGUCUAGCUAAACGGGGGUUUAUAAAUCAGUAGGUCGCGCCACGAUAUUGCUCUAACGUAGAAUAAAGAUCAAUACGGGGUGGAUGAAUAGGAUAUGAAGACAAGCUGAUCCGAUUAGACAGUAGUCUCGUCAUGUCGUAAAAAUCCUAUAGGAUAAUACCAGUUUAUGUAGAGGAAGUGUAUUAAACUAGGGGAUAAACUAUAGGUCGUUUUUAGGUAAAAACGAAGGGUAUGCGUGAAAAAUCCUAUAGGAUAAUACCAGCUUAUGUAGAGGAAGUGAAUUAAGUUAGGUAAUAAACUGUUUUGUUUUUAGGUAAAGACAAAAGGAUUGAAUGAAUGCUGUAAUAUAAUUAUUUGUGAUGAAUGAGCAGAUUAGAAAGAAGAGGAAGAACAGGCUGUGUGUCUGUGACCAACUGGGAAUGCGCAGGCCUCUCUGACAGUUAACUAAGUGUAAUUUGAGAAAGAGAGCGCAUUUAACUCUCACUGGGAAGAGGAACGAAAUCGAUAAAUAUUGGGCAAGAUAAGUUAUACAUAAGCAUAAAACAUUGACUGGAUAAUGAGUUAAAAGACCAUUGUAAAAAUUACAAUAGGUGUUAAAAAGAGGUAUUAAACAAGGCAUGGAUAGUAUAAAACGGAUGCGAAGUAGGAAGAAAUAACUUAAAAAUAUACAGAUAAACUAAAAUAUACUGGUUAAAAUAAAUCUAGGCAAAAGUGAGAAUUGCAUGAAAAUAGAAGUCUAGAACACAUUAAAAAUAUCACGAGCCCUGUAAACGAAAUAGGAGGCUGCAAUUUAAAAAUAGCCUCAGGAAUUAAACAGUAAAAUAGGCUAAGAGAGAAUAUAGCAAGCGGAUAAAUAAAGAGAUAAGAAAGUGCAGACAUUAUAAAUAAGCUGAAUUAGAAGGAAAAUUAUAUGAAAUAGGAUUUAAUACAUUGAAUAAAGUUAAAGUAAUAGUAUAAGCAAAGAUAAAAACACAGUGAUAUUUGAGGUGCUGUACUAGAAUAAGACAUUAAGGCUUCUGUAGUAUUCAGUAAUACAGUUGUAGACAUUAUAGAGUAGGUUUUAAUAGGAGGUAUUAAGUGAUGUGACUAAUAAAUUAUUAUUUGAGAAAGUAGGGUAGAUCUACCUUGGAAAAUAGUAAAUAAAGUAUAUAAUGCGAUGGGAGAGUUUAGGAAAAAUAAAUAGUGGCAUGGAAACAAAUGGACUGUUUCUCCCGGGAAUAUAGAGAUAGCGAAAUUUAAUAAAGCCAUAGAGUCGCUGAAAGAAGCGCACGUUAAUUCUACCAAUUCGAUUUGAAUAUGAAGGAGCGGUUUGCUACAAUGUAGGGCAACAUUACCCGGUAAACAGGAUAAAUAAAAUAAUGAAUUGGAACGAUCACAUAAAACUAUAACAAGAAGCUUAACUUACCAGCGUUUUAAUGUUAAUUAACAUUAUAUCAUCAGAAAUACAUUACGAUGGGGGAAGUGUAAGAAGUUGUAGAGCAGGGCUAACUAGUGUGGGGGAAAAUUAGUGUAAGAUGACACUGGAAUGCGAUAGCAGAGAAUGCAGAAAUACAGGAAUUUACACCCGUUUUAAAAGAACAACAACUGAUCGUUCUAAGGUUAGUACGAAUGAAGUUUUCACCAAGCGGUGUAUAGUCUCUGAUUAAUCAAAAAGUGGUUCAUAGAGAGUACAGUUUAUGUGAUGAAAUACGUACUAGAUCACGUUUUACCUAACUUAUAGUAAGGUACCGAUGUAAUUUACAAAUAGCCCCACUCGGAGUCGUUUUGCAUUAAAAUGGCGGUUUCAGUGGUGAUAAAAUGCGUGGAGAAGUUGUUAUUAGCGUCAAAAUACGGAAAAUAAACGUAUAUGAAAAAUCACAAGCGUGGUAAAAAUAGUUAGAAGAAAAGCAAAUUGUAGAGUAUGGGUGUAUUCAAUUUCUAAGGGUAGGAUACAGAUGGCCGAGCAGGGGGGAAUUGUGCGUUCUGUGUAUGGCUGGAGCUUCUGUCGCAUGCUCGGGAAAUGUAAGGGGAUUUUAGUAUAUGUAAUACUAUUAGCUUGCUGAUUUAGAGGGUGGCAUGGUGAAUGUUAACGAAAUGUACAUUUCUUUUCCAGAAAAAAAGGGGUUACAUGUUCUCUGGUCAAAAUGUCAUUGGAAACUGUAGUACUGAGGAAAGCAGUUAGAGAUAUUUUGGCCACUAAAAAUCUUAGUAUCUGGUUAAGGCUAUAACUGGAGUUUCGGAUAAGUGAGGCCGGCUCAUGUGUAUUCUUGGCCUAUAUGCGAUAGUGGGUUUCCUUUGGAAGGGUUUUUUCAGUUCAGUUUCAAAUUGGGUAUGCAGAAGGAUGGAAAUGUUUUUGAAAAUGUAUUUGGGUUGUUUCUAAAGAAAGGAGAGUGGAAACAUUUUAAUGGUGUCAAAUGCCCUGAACCCUAAGAAUUUCCCUUGAAGAUUGAUCAACUUCACUAGAAAUUGUUGGAACAAGUGGGAUUUAAUUAUAAAAUGAUUGAGAAACACCAGUCUCUAUUCAAAGUGUACAAUCACUUUGAAAUUCCAUUAUUUCCUUGGGAAAAAGAUGAAGAGUUGUAAUCUUGAAUUGACUAGUUAUUCAAAUAGGUUUAUUUUUAUUUAACAUGGGGUUAUAGGAGAACAUAUCAGUUCCCUGGGGUUAUGGUCUUUGGGUAAAUACAAAAUGUGCUUUGUUCAUGCUACAUAUAAAAUGGAAAUAUAUGUAAACAAGGGAUAACAGUUACUCCAAAUAGGUUAUUGGAGUGGGGGUUUCUGCAAGGGUUAUGAUGAUAACUACAUAAUCUGUAACUCAUCUGAGAGAUCGCUAGUAGAAUAAGGGAGUUAUCAUGGAAAUGUAAUGUCAGACUGCAUUAAUGCUUGGGAGAGACUAUCAUAACACCAAGUGGGUGUGAAACUCAAACCCACCCUACUGGCUGAAUAGUGUGGGACAACUGUGUCUGAUGACCUGUGAACUGUAUCUGGAAUGAUAUGUACUGGGAGAAGAAAGACUAAAGGGGAUUGGGAUAAUGACCUUUUAUUACUAGGCCACUCAUGACAGAAAAACAGAGGUAAAAGGGUGCAUGGUAAAAUAGAUAUUACUGGUACUAAAAGUUUUUAGUAAAAUGUUAAUUAUUAAAGGGAUGAUGAAUUGAAUUGAGAAGGUCAAAUUUGAGUUAAAGUAAGCACUAAGGACUGUUAUUUUGAAUAUUGGGUUGGACAAUUAAUAAACAACAUUUAGUUAUGUUUUGAAUAUAGGACUGUUUAAAUUUACUAGGCCUAGGGAAGCUCUGGAAACUAAUCCUGAGACAGGUUGAUUGACAGAACUUGCAGAAUAUUAAAUUAAAGGUUUUUGUUUCUUUUAUUUUACAAUAUCAUUGUAAUUGGAGUAAUAAGUAAUUUAAUAAAAAGUAUAGUCUGUUGUGUGAUAACACCCAAGGAUGAAGAAGACAUUACAAAUAGUGGUAAUUUAUAGCAAAUAUGCAGUUAUUAUAAUUUACUUUACCAUUUUUCUUGUUUGGUCAAUUUAUUUUUGGUUUGAGGAAAAUAAGAGUGUAUAUUUUUCCUGAGGAGGGACUGAUAUAAAUUGACUAAAAAUGAUUUGAGAAUGUUUAAGUAUGUAUCAAACUAUGGAAGGAAAUUAGAAGUAGUGACUUAUGUGUUAUGGGUUAGAAAAACUGUAACUACAUUGGGGGCUCAUAUGAAGGUUAUGGUAACAAGGGGGGGGUGUUAUUUCUAGAAACAGUGUAUAUUGAUAGACAAGAUAAUUCACAGAAAAGGAAGGACAGUUGGUCUUGUAAAAAUAUAGGGACAAUUCUAAAAGUAGAUAGAACAUUACACACACCUAGAUUAUGGUAAAAGUAAUAAGUAGUGGCAUUUUGAAGAAGCUUAGGACUUAGUUUUGUUAGGAUUGGAUAUUCUUCCAACUAGAAAACACUUGACUGAUUACAUGCAAUUCUUGCAGCAGUUACGGUAGGGACCAUAAUUUGGCUAUCAUUAUGAAUAUUUUUGUGGCAGGAGGCCAGGUAUUUAAGACAGAAUGUUUACAUAGGGCUGUUAUUUAAAAAUUAAGAUUUAGUGAUCCUGCUAUAAGAAGAAAGUCUGUUGUCAGGAAAUAACCCAUGUGUUAGUGUGUAUGUCCUCAGGAAAAAACAGCACAUAAGAGGCCAGAUGGAAGGGCAUAGGCUGAAUUCUGGAGACUGAGUGUACAUCAAGAUACAUCGGGCUGGGGAUAUACUUCUUACAGCACCUGCAGUGGUAAAGAUUGUCAUGUCUCUCUUUGGUGGGUGCAUAAGUCUCACAAGAAGUAAAGUCCAGCUGAAUAAUGGGUGAGCUUGAAAACACCAUGACAGAGGACGUGAAACAAAACAAAAGAGAGAGACUAGAUUCUACUGUAGACAUACUGGGUUGAGUUUGGGGGUUAUUUGUUUUAUUUGAUAAUGUAUCAUGUGAAUAAGGAUAUAUGUUAGGGUAGUUGUACUCUAAACCACAUGUUGAAGGCUCAAUGUGGAAGCCCAUUCCGUGUUGAAUUACUUUAAGAAGCAAUAAUGUUGAUUUAAGGUUAUGCACAUGUUUAUCAGUUGAAACAGAGCAGAUGGGGAACUAAGUAAAAAAUGACAUGGUUUGGGAACACCUCUCAGAACCUGCGGCCGAAAGGGGAAGACUGGAUGAAAGCACGAGGAAGCCAAUUAGGGCCUCCAUUUUUGUGGAGUCCAGCAGAAAAGUAUCCUGGAGGCAUAGAGUCAGGUGAAGAGAGAGUGGGAAUUGUCAUGGUCUCAGAUUUCAGUAUUCAUUAAUACAGUCAUGCAUAACACAUAACAUUGUCAAUACUGUUAUGUUUUGUCCUUUGUUUUCCAAGUCUUAUGUUUAGGAAACCAGAUGGAGAAGUGUUCUCCAGCUUCAGCUGGAAUGUCAGUUUGUGUGAUGAGUGAUGGAAGUAAGAGAAUGUAUGGUGUAAUCAUAGAACAGAGGCCAUAAGUCUCUAAGUAUGAAUGCCCCACAGAAAGAAGGCAGAAAUCUGAACCAGGAUGAGAGGUUCCACAUCUGAUGAUCCAAGGGGACCAGAAGGAUCUCUCCCAGUGAUACCAGGAGAUCGAGUCUACGUUUGAGUGUUCCGAAGGAAGUGGGAUCAGCCGAGGAGGGAAGGACCCUACGAGGUGGCAACAGCCACAAACACGGCCGUCCAAGUGAAAGGAAGCAAGACGUGGUAUCAUCUAAACCACUGCACCCGAGUCCCGACGGAGAGAAGGACACAACCAUACAGAGAUGAGGACACAGAGGAUGCUGAUUCACCAGAAGGGACCCCGGAGGGAGCAGGAGCAGCGGAAUCGAUCAAAGCGCCGGGGAGGAAUCAAGAAAAUGGCAGACCAGAUACAACGAGUGCAUCGGCUAACACACUCAGAAGAACCGACCAGGGAAAAAGAGCCUGAAAAGAAAAGAGACAAACAACCAAAGUUUCCUCCAGUAUGGCCAGAAAGCCCAGAAGUGGGAGGGGGUAACAUGUCUGCCACUCCUGAUGAUAUACUUGUUGGGGCAGGCUUUGUUGACGGAAGCCUUCUACAGUGGGACCCCGAGGUAUCGCCUAAAGAAGGGGAACAUCUCUUCCCUGAAAUGGACGCCUUCCCAGAUGGAAGCCCAGUUCGGGCUGAGGAGGGAACAACAUGCGAAGAGAGUGGAGGAGAAGCCUUAUCAGGAACAACAAGUGAAGAAAGCAGAGGAGAAGCCUUACCAAGAGCAGAAGGAGAAAUCUUGCAAGAUGAAAGAAAUGGGGAUUUCCCCAAAAUUGACUUUUCAGCUCUUGAAUUGUCUCCAUAAUGAACAAUUGAAGUUAGACCCAUAGAAGAACAAUGAUAUUGACAUAACAGAAGUAACAGUGAACGCUAGAAUAGCAACAACAGACUCACGCACAAUCAAGAUGUAGGGUGGAAACAGGAAGAGAAGAGAGGAACCAGUCAAACAAUCUAAAAAGACUGACAAGGUUAGAAUCUCUGUCCCACCUCAACAUAUAACUGAAACAGAAGAAUAGAAGACAAAAGGAUCAAACCCUUACCGGAGAUUGCAUUCGGUGGAUGGACAUAUCAUCGAACGAAGAGAGAAGUCAUUUGGGACUCAAAAGGAUGUGACCUGACGUUAACCAAAGAAGUAGACGAGUGGGUGCUCACCAUGAAUCAGAUUGAACCAGUUGAAGGUGAAGAAUUAAUAGGUGAAAUAAUGAGAACAAGAUUGGCUGAAGGGAGUAGUUCCUCAGUCAUUCAGAAUUGGUCUUACGCCAAUACCUAAACAGGAAGAGCCUGUGGUAGCUAGAAAGCAUCAGAACCAGGAGGGUUCUUUACUGACAUUUUGAACUUUUUGACUAACUGUAAUGACCUACCUCAAGAUAAGAACAUUGCAAAGAUGACAGACACAGACAUACCAGACUCUGAACCACUCAAGGACACCACAUGAAAUGAAUAGUGAAGAAUGAGUGGUACGAUUAGGCUAAGUAUACAGCAGAAAUAAACAUAGGAGGGACAAUUGUAUUUUGUGUAGAAAAUCACCUUUGUCUGAUCUUUUGAUAGUACCUGAACCUGCAUCAUUUGAAGAAUGCGUUAAAUGUAAAAUGUUCAAUAUUCAGAGAAAAUACUACAUUCCCUUGUGUGACAUAGAAUGUAGGAUUGCUCGAGGGAGCACUAGAGGCAGAACCAUAUUAAAUUAGACUGGGUUGGGAGUUCAAGGCAAGAGAUGAAGUUAAAUCUGGAUUUGAAUCUUAAUUUUUGUGGAUAACAUCAAAUAAGAACUUAGAGUGGAUUAAUUACAUAUACUAUAACCAACAGAGAUUCAUUAACUAUACUGACUCGGCUUUAACGGCGUUGGGGGAAUAGGUACAGGAUACCAGUAAAAUGUCUUGCCAAAAUAGACAGGCUCUCAAUUGGCUUUUUGCAGAGAAGGGUGGAGUUUGUUAUGUUCGGGGAUGAUUGUUGCACCUUUAUUCCCAAUAACACUGCGCCUAAUGGAUUCUUUGCUGUCGCUAUGGCUAAACUUAAAGGGUUAAGAAAAGAGGUUAAGAAAAAUGCUGGGGUGGACUCUCAUGUUUGGGAUUGGUUGGACUUAGCAUUGGGGAAAUAGGGAGCCAUGUUUGCUAGGACGGCCUUUAUGCUGGAAGGGGGGUUAUUGGCUCUGGGUAUUGUAUUUUGUUGUGUUUUACCCUGGGUGAAAUCACUUGUGAUCCAGACAACGGUUAAACAGAUGUUUGUAAGUAGAGCUGACACUCCGGUGAUAGUUGAUCCUGUGCCGGGUAGGCCAGGCCACUAUACUGAUGAAAAUGGACAGUUAUGCUGUCAUUCCAAAUUCAUAAGAAAGUCAACUGAUGCAUAUCCACAAAAAGGGUCAUUUCCGUAGUAAGUACAAGAGGUGUUAUGUAAGGUCUACUUUUGCUCACGGCCUUGUGUUUUAGUAUGUUUUGUCAAAUGUUUUUAUAGGUAUAUCAAUGAAUAUAUCUGGUUUCUUUUAAUUAAAAGUUAGUUUUGCCUUCUAAAAUGCUAGGUUAUAUUUAAAAACAUGUAGGUAACAGUGGGAUAUCCCGGUUACAAGUGUCUACGGACCAUGUCCUUAAUCUUCUAACAGAGAUUGGUAUUGAUGGUAUCACGGUUGUUGGAGAGGUGUCUGAGAGGGAGAAUCAUGUGGAAAGCUUAAAUUUAGAAUGAUGUGUCAAUUUUAUUUUGUAACUGCAUGGAGGCCUAGUGUUUUCUCAUAUUCAAUUUAUUAUUUGACUCAUUGCUUUAUUAUAUAUAUUUUUAUUUUUUGCGUAGCUGAGAACCUCAGACAAGGUUAUGUAUUUACAUGCUCAUGCUUUAACAAAAGAUAAUGUAUUAUUUUUUGUUUCUAUACCGAACUAGAUAUUUUACUCUUAUGAAAUACUAGAGAUGUUUGGUGUAGGUGAUUAGGAAGUUUUAUUUUUUAAUUAUUUUUUAUUUUUUUAUUUAAAAAUAUUUUUUUUGAUAAUCGACUGUUGAUAUUAUGUUCCAUAUGUCCUUUUUAAGUUUUUGGUGCUUAUUAAAGCACCAGAGGGGGGUUAUGUGGGAGAAAUUAGGUACAUAUAUGGAUAAAUAUAUUGUCCUAUAUAAUGGCAUUUGCCAUUCUGGUAAGGUACAUUGUCUAUUGUAUAGGACAGGAAGCCAGAGUGGGGCCAUGGGAGAGGGCAACACCUAGGGCAGCUGGACAUACAAAGGUCAGAGGUUAUCUAAGGAGGGGGUCAGCCAAAGGACCAAUUGAUGGAUUACAGACAUCAAUCACAUCACAGGAGACAAGUCUGUUUGAUCUUAGACAACCAUAUGAAGAGAAGGCGACCAGAACAGCUAGGCACCCUAAAGCUAAAGGAGAUGAAAGACACCAAAAGGGACACAUGGAGUUAAUUACAGGGUAUGAACACAGGCCACAGGAAAGGGGAAUGUAUAGUAUUUUUAGUAUAGCUGAGCAUGCUAAAAACAGAAGAGACACAUAGUGUGCUGACCCUAGAUAACACACAAACAGGAGAACGCAUUAAGCUGAGUGAAGGGUCAAAGCAAGGGUCUUGUCACCAUUAGGAUCUAAUGGAAAGCAGAUGGGGGUGUUAUUGGGCUGAACAAGCAGGAAGCACGGAUUGGGAUGUAACUUAAUUUGCAUAUGGGAGGGACUUAUAUGGUAGGUGUAUAACUCAGAGCGAGGGCUCUGAAAAAGUGUGUGUGUUCCGCGGACCGCUCCGGCUUAUGAUACUGUUGUAUUAAAAGUCUAUAUUGAUUUUCACAAAGUUCUUGGUUGUGUCAUAUUUGAACCGAUUUGCCACUACAUAAUUGGCGAGCUUGCCAGGAGAAUUAGGGACUGAAUAACGUUCUUGGCUGGCAGCGGGAUCUUUGGACGAUCUGGGCAAACAAGGGUGGCCACCCAGCUAAGGUAAGACAACAGUGAAAUGUUUGCGUAGAUCGCUUCAGAGAUCCUGCCUCAGCAAGAGGAGCGUCAAGUAGGUCUCUCUCUCUCAAAUUUCCUAAAAACUAUAGAAACGAAAGAACUUUUUGAAAUUCAAUGAAUUUGCAUGCAUGUGUGUAAGCUUGGAAAUUGUAUAAUGAAUGUGCAUGCAUGUCUAGUGAGUAAGUAGGUGGGGGCUGUGAACUUCGCUGGUGUAGGGUGUGUUAUUCUGGCAUGUUGGGGCUGGGAUUGGGCACAGGGUUACAGCUAUCUGCUUAUAAGGUUUGAAUAAAAUAAGUAGUUAUAGAAGUCCUGCGAUACCGCUUCAAAAUAUUUACCAGAAGGUCUGAAUGGGUAGGUUACUUUAUUGAUAAGUAAUCCUGCGAUACCGCUUCAAAAUAUUUAGCUGAAGGACUGAAUGGGUAGGCUACUUUAUUGAUAAGUAGAUAGAUAAACAUUCAUGGCUACCGCUUCAAGGAAAAGGUCUGUACGGAUGAGUAUUUAGAAAAUAAAUACACAUGGCUACCGCUUUGAAAUGAAGGUCUGUACGGGUGAAUAUUUAAAACACAGAAAGAACGCUGGCCUGAUUGUGCGACGUUCAACUGAAAAAGGAAAUCCUGCGAAUAUAAAACGCUCCGUCUAGCUAAACGGGGGUUUAUAAAUCAGUAGGUCGCGCCACGAUAUUGCUCUAACGUAGAAUAAAGAUCAAUACGGGGUGGAUGAAUAGGAUAUGAAGACAAGCUGAUCCGAUUAGACAGUAGUCUCGUCAUGUCGUAAAAAUCCUAUAGGAUAAUACCAGUUUAUGUAGAGGAAGUGUAUUAAACUAGGGGAUAAACUAUAGGUCGUUUUUAGGUAAAAACGAAGGGUAUGCGUGAAAAAUCCUAUAGGAUAAUACCAGCUUAUGUAGAGGAAGUGAAUUAAGUUAGGUAAUAAACUGUUUUGUUUUUAGGUAAAGACAAAAGGAUUGAAUGAAUGCUGUAAUAUAAUUAUUUGUGAUGAAUGAGCAGAUUAGAAAGAAGAGGAAGAACAGGCUGUGUGUCUGUGACCAACUGGGAAUGCGCAGGCCUCUCUGACAGUUAACUAAGUGUAAUUUGAGAAAGAGAGCGCAUUUAACUCUCACUGGGAAGAGGAACGAAAUCGAUAAAUAUUGGGCAAGAUAAGUUAUACAUAAGCAUAAAACAUUGACUGGAUAAUGAGUUAAAAGACCAUUGUAAAAAUUACAAUAGGUGUUAAAAAGAGGUAUUAAACAAGGCAUGGAUAGUAUAAAACGGAUGCGAAGUAGGAAGAAAUAACUUAAAAAUAUACAGAUAAACUAAAAUAUACUGGUUAAAAUAAAUCUAGGCAAAAGUGAGAAUUGCAUGAAAAUAGAAGUCUAGAACACAUUAAAAAUAUCACGAGCCCUGUAAACGAAAUAGGAGGCUGCAAUUUAAAAAUAGCCUCAGGAAUUAAACAGUAAAAUAGGCUAAGAGAGAAUAUAGCAAGCGGAUAAAUAAAGAGAUAAGAAAGUGCAGACAUUAUAAAUAAGCUGAAUUAGAAGGAAAAUUAUAUGAAAUAGGAUUUAAUACAUUGAAUAAAGUUAAAGUAAUAGUAUAAGCAAAGAUAAAAACACAGUGAUAUUUGAGGUGCUGUACUAGAAUAAGACAUUAAGGCUUCUGUAGUAUUCAGUAAUACAGUUGUAGACAUUAUAGAGUAGGUUUUAAUAGGAGGUAUUAAGUGAUGUGACUAAUAAAUUAUUAUUUGAGAAAGUAGGGUAGAUCUACCUUGGAAAAUAGUAAAUAAAGUAUAUAAUGCGAUGGGAGAGUUUAGGAAAAAUAAAUAGUGGCAUGGAAACAAAUGGACUGUUUCUCCCGGGAAUAUAGAGAUAGCGAAAUUUAAUAAAGCCAUAGAGUCGCUGAAAGAAGCGCACGUUAAUUCUACCAAUUCGAUUUGAAUAUGAAGGAGCGGUUUGCUACAAUGUAGGGCAACAUUACCCGGUAAACAGGAUAAAUAAAAUAAUGAAUUGGAACGAUCACAUAAAACUAUAACAAGAAGCUUAACUUACCAGCGUUUUAAUGUUAAUUAACAUUAUAUCAUCAGAAAUACAUUACGAUGGGGGAAGUGUAAGAAGUUGUAGAGCAGGGCUAACUAGUGUGGGGGAAAAUUAGUGUAAGAUGACACUGGAAUGCGAUAGCAGAGAAUGCAGAAAUACAGGAAUUUACACCCGUUUUAAAAGAACAACAACUGAUCGUUCUAAGGUUAGUACGAAUGAAGUUUUCACCAAGCGGUGUAUAGUCUCUGAUUAAUCAAAAAGUGGUUCAUAGAGAGUACAGUUUAUGUGAUGAAAUACGUACUAGAUCACGUUUUACCUAACUUAUAGUAAGGUACCGAUGUAAUUUACAAAUAGCCCCACUCGGAGUCGUUUUGCAUUAAAAUGGCGGUUUCAGUGGUGAUAAAAUGCGUGGAGAAGUUGUUAUUAGCGUCAAAAUACGGAAAAUAAACGUAUAUGAAAAAUCACAAGCGUGGUAAAAAUAGUUAGAAGAAAAGCAAAUUGUAGAGUAUGGGUGUAUUCAAUUUCUAAGGGUAGGAUACAGAUGGCCGAGCAGGGGGGAAUUGUGCGUUCUGUGUAUGGCUGGAGCUUCUGUCGCAUGCUCGGGAAAUGUAAGGGGAUUUUAGUAUAUGUAAUACUAUUAGCUUGCUGAUUUAGAGGGUGGCAUGGUGAAUGUUAACGAAAUGUACAUUUCUUUUCCAGAAAAAAAGGGGUUACAUGUUCUCUGGUCAAAAUGUCAUUGGAAACUGUAGUACUGAGGAAAGCAGUUAGAGAUAUUUUGGCCACUAAAAAUCUUAGUAUCUGGUUAAGGCUAUAACUGGAGUUUCGGAUAAGUGAGGCCGGCUCAUGUGUAUUCUUGGCCUAUAUGCGAUAGUGGGUUUCCUUUGGAAGGGUUUUUUCAGUUCAGUUUCAAAUUGGGUAUGCAGAAGGAUGGAAAUGUUUUUGAAAAUGUAUUUGGGUUGUUUCUAAAGAAAGGAGAGUGGAAACAUUUUAAUGGUGUCAAAUGCCCUGAACCCUAAGAAUUUCCCUUGAAGAUUGAUCAACUUCACUAGAAAUUGUUGGAACAAGUGGGAUUUAAUUAUAAAAUGAUUGAGAAACACCAGUCUCUAUUCAAAGUGUACAAUCACUUUGAAAUUCCAUUAUUUCCUUGGGAAAAAGAUGAAGAGUUGUAAUCUUGAAUUGACUAGUUAUUCAAAUAGGUUUAUUUUUAUUUAACAUGGGGUUAUAGGAGAACAUAUCAGUUCCCUGGGGUUAUGGUCUUUGGGUAAAUACAAAAUGUGCUUUGUUCAUGCUACAUAUAAAAUGGAAAUAUAUGUAAACAAGGGAUAACAGUUACUCCAAAUAGGUUAUUGGAGUGGGGGUUUCUGCAAGGGUUAUGAUGAUAACUACAUAAUCUGUAACUCAUCUGAGAGAUCGCUAGUAGAAUAAGGGAGUUAUCAUGGAAAUGUAAUGUCAGACUGCAUUAAUGCUUGGGAGAGACUAUCAUAACACCAAGUGGGUGUGAAACUCAAACCCACCCUACUGGCUGAAUAGUGUGGGACAACUGUGUCUGAUGACCUGUGAACUGUAUCUGGAAUGAUAUGUACUGGGAGAAGAAAGACUAAAGGGGAUUGGGAUAAUGACCUUUUAUUACUAGGCCACUCAUGACAGAAAAACAGAGGUAAAAGGGUGCAUGGUAAAAUAGAUAUUACUGGUACUAAAAGUUUUUAGUAAAAUGUUAAUUAUUAAAGGGAUGAUGAAUUGAAUUGAGAAGGUCAAAUUUGAGUUAAAGUAAGCACUAAGGACUGUUAUUUUGAAUAUUGGGUUGGACAAUUAAUAAACAACAUUUAGUUAUGUUUUGAAUAUAGGACUGUUUAAAUUUACUAGGCCUAGGGAAGCUCUGGAAACUAAUCCUGAGACAGGUUGAUUGACAGAACUUGCAGAAUAUUAAAUUAAAGGUUUUUGUUUCUUUUAUUUUACAAUAUCAUUGUAAUUGGAGUAAUAAGUAAUUUAAUAAAAAGUAUAGUCUGUUGUGUGAUAACACCCAAGGAUGAAGAAGACAUUACAAAUAGUGGUAAUUUAUAGCAAAUAUGCAGUUAUUAUAAUUUACUUUACCAUUUUUCUUGUUUGGUCAAUUUAUUUUUGGUUUGAGGAAAAUAAGAGUGUAUAUUUUUCCUGAGGAGGGACUGAUAUAAAUUGACUAAAAAUGAUUUGAGAAUGUUUAAGUAUGUAUCAAACUAUGGAAGGAAAUUAGAAGUAGUGACUUAUGUGUUAUGGGUUAGAAAAACUGUAACUACAUUGGGGGCUCAUAUGAAGGUUAUGGUAACAAGGGGGGGGUGUUAUUUCUAGAAACAGUGUAUAUUGAUAGACAAGAUAAUUCACAGAAAAGGAAGGACAGUUGGUCUUGUAAAAAUAUAGGGACAAUUCUAAAAGUAGAUAGAACAUUACACACACCUAGAUUAUGGUAAAAGUAAUAAGUAGUGGCAUUUUGAAGAAGCUUAGGACUUAGUUUUGUUAGGAUUGGAUAUUCUUCCAACUAGAAAACACUUGACUGAUUACAUGCAAUUCUUGCAGCAGUUACGGUAGGGACCAUAAUUUGGCUAUCAUUAUGAAUAUUUUUGUGGCAGGAGGCCAGGUAUUUAAGACAGAAUGUUUACAUAGGGCUGUUAUUUAAAAAUUAAGAUUUAGUGAUCCUGCUAUAAGAAGAAAGUCUGUUGUCAGGAAAUAACCCAUGUGUUAGUGUGUAUGUCCUCAGGAAAAAACAGCACAUAAGAGGCCAGAUGGAAGGGCAUAGGCUGAAUUCUGGAGACUGAGUGUACAUCAAGAUACAUCGGGCUGGGGAUAUACUUCUUACAGCACCUGCAGUGGUAAAGAUUGUCAUGUCUCUCUUUGGUGGGUGCAUAAGUCUCACAAGAAGUAAAGUCCAGCUGAAUAAUGGGUGAGCUUGAAAACACCAUGACAGAGGACGUGAAACAAAACAAAAGAGAGAGACUAGAUUCUACUGUAGACAUACUGGGUUGAGUUUGGGGGUUAUUUGUUUUAUUUGAUAAUGUAUCAUGUGAAUAAGGAUAUAUGUUAGGGUAGUUGUACUCUAAACCACAUGUUGAAGGCUCAAUGUGGAAGCCCAUUCCGUGUUGAAUUACUUUAAGAAGCAAUAAUGUUGAUUUAAGGUUAUGCACAUGUUUAUCAGUUGAAACAGAGCAGAUGGGGAACUAAGUAAAAAAUGACAUGGUUUGGGAACACCUCUCAGAACCUGCGGCCGAAAGGGGAAGACUGGAUGAAAGCACGAGGAAGCCAAUUAGGGCCUCCAUUUUUGUGGAGUCCAGCAGAAAAGUAUCCUGGAGGCAUAGAGUCAGGUGAAGAGAGAGUGGGAAUUGUCAUGGUCUCAGAUUUCAGUAUUCAUUAAUACAGUCAUGCAUAACACAUAACAUUGUCAAUACUGUUAUGUUUUGUCCUUUGUUUUCCAAGUCUUAUGUUUAGGAAACCAGAUGGAGAAGUGUUCUCCAGCUUCAGCUGGAAUGUCAGUUUGUGUGAUGAGUGAUGGAAGUAAGAGAAUGUAUGGUGUAAUCAUAGAACAGAGGCCAUAAGUCUCUAAGUAUGAAUGCCCCACAGAAAGAAGGCAGAAAUCUGAACCAGGAUGAGAGGUUCCACAUCUGAUGAUCCAAGGGGACCAGAAGGAUCUCUCCCAGUGAUACCAGGAGAUCGAGUCUACGUUUGAGUGUUCCGAAGGAAGUGGGAUCAGCCGAGGAGGGAAGGACCCUACGAGGUGGCAACAGCCACAAACACGGCCGUCCAAGUGAAAGGAAGCAAGACGUGGUAUCAUCUAAACCACUGCACCCGAGUCCCGACGGAGAGAAGGACACAACCAUACAGAGAUGAGGACACAGAGGAUGCUGAUUCACCAGAAGGGACCCCGGAGGGAGCAGGAGCAGCGGAAUCGAUCAAAGCGCCGGGGAGGAAUCAAGAAAAUGGCAGACCAGAUACAACGAGUGCAUCGGCUAACACACUCAGAAGAACCGACCAGGGAAAAAGAGCCUGAAAAGAAAAGAGACAAACAACCAAAGUUUCCUCCAGUAUGGCCAGAAAGCCCAGAAGUGGGAGGGGGUAACAUGUCUGCCACUCCUGAUGAUAUACUUGUUGGGGCAGGCUUUGUUGACGGAAGCCUUCUACAGUGGGACCCCGAGGUAUCGCCUAAAGAAGGGGAACAUCUCUUCCCUGAAAUGGACGCCUUCCCAGAUGGAAGCCCAGUUCGGGCUGAGGAGGGAACAACAUGCGAAGAGAGUGGAGGAGAAGCCUUAUCAGGAACAACAAGUGAAGAAAGCAGAGGAGAAGCCUUACCAAGAGCAGAAGGAGAAAUCUUGCAAGAUGAAAGAAAUGGGGAUUUCCCCAAAAUUGACUUUUCAGCUCUUGAAUUGUCUCCAUAAUGAACAAUUGAAGUUAGACCCAUAGAAGAACAAUGAUAUUGACAUAACAGAAGUAACAGUGAACGCUAGAAUAGCAACAACAGACUCACGCACAAUCAAGAUGUAGGGUGGAAACAGGAAGAGAAGAGAGGAACCAGUCAAACAAUCUAAAAAGACUGACAAGGUUAGAAUCUCUGUCCCACCUCAACAUAUAACUGAAACAGAAGAAUAGAAGACAAAAGGAUCAAACCCUUACCGGAGAUUGCAUUCGGUGGAUGGACAUAUCAUCGAACGAAGAGAGAAGUCAUUUGGGACUCAAAAGGAUGUGACCUGACGUUAACCAAAGAAGUAGACGAGUGGGUGCUCACCAUGAAUCAGAUUGAACCAGUUGAAGGUGAAGAAUUAAUAGGUGAAAUAAUGAGAACAAGAUUGGCUGAAGGGAGUAGUUCCUCAGUCAUUCAGAAUUGGUCUUACGCCAAUACCUAAACAGGAAGAGCCUGUGGUAGCUAGAAAGCAUCAGAACCAGGAGGGUUCUUUACUGACAUUUUGAACUUUUUGACUAACUGUAAUGACCUACCUCAAGAUAAGAACAUUGCAAAGAUGACAGACACAGACAUACCAGACUCUGAACCACUCAAGGACACCACAUGAAAUGAAUAGUGAAGAAUGAGUGGUACGAUUAGGCUAAGUAUACAGCAGAAAUAAACAUAGGAGGGACAAUUGUAUUUUGUGUAGAAAAUCACCUUUGUCUGAUCUUUUGAUAGUACCUGAACCUGCAUCAUUUGAAGAAUGCGUUAAAUGUAAAAUGUUCAAUAUUCAGAGAAAAUACUACAUUCCCUUGUGUGACAUAGAAUGUAGGAUUGCUCGAGGGAGCACUAGAGGCAGAACCAUAUUAAAUUAGACUGGGUUGGGAGUUCAAGGCAAGAGAUGAAGUUAAAUCUGGAUUUGAAUCUUAAUUUUUGUGGAUAACAUCAAAUAAGAACUUAGAGUGGAUUAAUUACAUAUACUAUAACCAACAGAGAUUCAUUAACUAUACUGACUCGGCUUUAACGGCGUUGGGGGAAUAGGUACAGGAUACCAGUAAAAUGUCUUGCCAAAAUAGACAGGCUCUCAAUUGGCUUUUUGCAGAGAAGGGUGGAGUUUGUUAUGUUCGGGGAUGAUUGUUGCACCUUUAUUCCCAAUAACACUGCGCCUAAUGGAUUCUUUGCUGUCGCUAUGGCUAAACUUAAAGGGUUAAGAAAAGAGGUUAAGAAAAAUGCUGGGGUGGACUCUCAUGUUUGGGAUUGGUUGGACUUAGCAUUGGGGAAAUAGGGAGCCAUGUUUGCUAGGACGGCCUUUAUGCUGGAAGGGGGGUUAUUGGCUCUGGGUAUUGUAUUUUGUUGUGUUUUACCCUGGGUGAAAUCACUUGUGAUCCAGACAACGGUUAAACAGAUGUUUGUAAGUAGAGCUGACACUCCGGUGAUAGUUGAUCCUGUGCCGGGUAGGCCAGGCCACUAUACUGAUGAAAAUGGACAGUUAUGCUGUCAUUCCAAAUUCAUAAGAAAGUCAACUGAUGCAUAUCCACAAAAAGGGUCAUUUCCGUAGUAAGUACAAGAGGUGUUAUGUAAGGUCUACUUUUGCUCACGGCCUUGUGUUUUAGUAUGUUUUGUCAAAUGUUUUUAUAGGUAUAUCAAUGAAUAUAUCUGGUUUCUUUUAAUUAAAAGUUAGUUUUGCCUUCUAAAAUGCUAGGUUAUAUUUAAAAACAUGUAGGUAACAGUGGGAUAUCCCGGUUACAAGUGUCUACGGACCAUGUCCUUAAUCUUCUAACAGAGAUUGGUAUUGAUGGUAUCACGGUUGUUGGAGAGGUGUCUGAGAGGGAGAAUCAUGUGGAAAGCUUAAAUUUAGAAUGAUGUGUCAAUUUUAUUUUGUAACUGCAUGGAGGCCUAGUGUUUUCUCAUAUUCAAUUUAUUAUUUGACUCAUUGCUUUAUUAUAUAUAUUUUUAUUUUUUGCGUAGCUGAGAACCUCAGACAAGGUUAUGUAUUUACAUGCUCAUGCUUUAACAAAAGAUAAUGUAUUAUUUUUUGUUUCUAUACCGAACUAGAUAUUUUACUCUUAUGAAAUACUAGAGAUGUUUGGUGUAGGUGAUUAGGAAGUUUUAUUUUUUAAUUAUUUUUUAUUUUUUUAUUUAAAAAUAUUUUUUUUGAUAAUCGACUGUUGAUAUUAUGUUCCAUAUGUCCUUUUUAAGUUUUUGGUGCUUAUUAAAGCACCAGAGGGGGGUUAUGUGGGAGAAAUUAGGUACAUAUAUGGAUAAAUAUAUUGUCCUAUAUAAUGGCAUUUGCCAUUCUGGUAAGGUACAUUGUCUAUUGUAUAGGACAGGAAGCCAGAGUGGGGCCAUGGGAGAGGGCAACACCUAGGGCAGCUGGACAUACAAAGGUCAGAGGUUAUCUAAGGAGGGGGUCAGCCAAAGGACCAAUUGAUGGAUUACAGACAUCAAUCACAUCACAGGAGACAAGUCUGUUUGAUCUUAGACAACCAUAUGAAGAGAAGGCGACCAGAACAGCUAGGCACCCUAAAGCUAAAGGAGAUGAAAGACACCAAAAGGGACACAUGGAGUUAAUUACAGGGUAUGAACACAGGCCACAGGAAAGGGGAAUGUAUAGUAUUUUUAGUAUAGCUGAGCAUGCUAAAAACAGAAGAGACACAUAGUGUGCUGACCCUAGAUAACACACAAACAGGAGAACGCAUUAAGCUGAGUGAAGGGUCAAAGCAAGGGUCUUGUCACCAUUAGGAUCUAAUGGAAAGCAGAUGGGGGUGUUAUUGGGCUGAACAAGCAGGAAGCACGGAUUGGGAUGUAACUUAAUUUGCAUAUGGGAGGGACUUAUAUGGUAGGUGUAUAACUCAGAGCGAGGGCUCUGAAAAAGUGUGUGUGUUCCGCGGACCGCUCCGGCUUAUGAUACUGUUGUAUUAAAAGUCUAUAUUGAUUUUCACAAAGUUCUUGGUUGUGUCAUAUUUGAACCGAUUUGCCACUACAUAAUUGGCGAGCUUGCCAGGAGAAUUAGGGACUGAAUAACGUUCUUGGCUGGCAGCGGGAUCUUUGGACGAUCUGGGCAAACAAGGGUGGCCACCCAGCUAAGGUAAGACAACAGUGAAAUGUUUGCGUAGAUCGCUUCAGAGAUCCUGCCUCAGCAAGAGGAGCGUCAAGUAGGUCUCUCUCUCUCAAAUUUCCUAAAAACUAUAGAAACGAAAGAACUUUUUGAAAUUCAAUGAAUUUGCAUGCAUGUGUGUAAGCUUGGAAAUUGUAUAAUGAAUGUGCAUGCAUGUCUAGUGAGUAAGUAGGUGGGGGCUGUGAACUUCGCUGGUGUAGGGUGUGUUAUUCUGGCAUGUUGGGGCUGGGAUUGGGCACAGGGUUACAGCUAUCUGCUUAUAAGGUUUGAAUAAAAUAAGUAGUUAUAGAAGUCCUGCGAUACCGCUUCAAAAUAUUUACCAGAAGGUCUGAAUGGGUAGGUUACUUUAUUGAUAAGUAAUCCUGCGAUACCGCUUCAAAAUAUUUAGCUGAAGGACUGAAUGGGUAGGCUACUUUAUUGAUAAGUAGAUAGAUAAACAUUCAUGGCUACCGCUUCAAGGAAAAGGUCUGUACGGAUGAGUAUUUAGAAAAUAAAUACACAUGGCUACCGCUUUGAAAUGAAGGUCUGUACGGGUGAAUAUUUAAAACACAGAAAGAACGCUGGCCUGAUUGUGCGACGUUCAACUGAAAAAGGAAAUCCUGCGAAUAUAAAACGCUCCGUCUAGCUAAACGGGGGUUUAUAAAUCAGUAGGUCGCGCCACGAUAUUGCUCUAACGUAGAAUAAAGAUCAAUACGGGGUGGAUGAAUAGGAUAUGAAGACAAGCUGAUCCGAUUAGACAGUAGUCUCGUCAUGUCGUAAAAAUCCUAUAGGAUAAUACCAGUUUAUGUAGAGGAAGUGUAUUAAACUAGGGGAUAAACUAUAGGUCGUUUUUAGGUAAAAACGAAGGGUAUGCGUGAAAAAUCCUAUAGGAUAAUACCAGCUUAUGUAGAGGAAGUGAAUUAAGUUAGGUAAUAAACUGUUUUGUUUUUAGGUAAAGACAAAAGGAUUGAAUGAAUGCUGUAAUAUAAUUAUUUGUGAUGAAUGAGCAGAUUAGAAAGAAGAGGAAGAACAGGCUGUGUGUCUGUGACCAACUGGGAAUGCGCAGGCCUCUCUGACAGUUAACUAAGUGUAAUUUGAGAAAGAGAGCGCAUUUAACUCUCACUGGGAAGAGGAACGAAAUCGAUAAAUAUUGGGCAAGAUAAGUUAUACAUAAGCAUAAAACAUUGACUGGAUAAUGAGUUAAAAGACCAUUGUAAAAAUUACAAUAGGUGUUAAAAAGAGGUAUUAAACAAGGCAUGGAUAGUAUAAAACGGAUGCGAAGUAGGAAGAAAUAACUUAAAAAUAUACAGAUAAACUAAAAUAUACUGGUUAAAAUAAAUCUAGGCAAAAGUGAGAAUUGCAUGAAAAUAGAAGUCUAGAACACAUUAAAAAUAUCACGAGCCCUGUAAACGAAAUAGGAGGCUGCAAUUUAAAAAUAGCCUCAGGAAUUAAACAGUAAAAUAGGCUAAGAGAGAAUAUAGCAAGCGGAUAAAUAAAGAGAUAAGAAAGUGCAGACAUUAUAAAUAAGCUGAAUUAGAAGGAAAAUUAUAUGAAAUAGGAUUUAAUACAUUGAAUAAAGUUAAAGUAAUAGUAUAAGCAAAGAUAAAAACACAGUGAUAUUUGAGGUGCUGUACUAGAAUAAGACAUUAAGGCUUCUGUAGUAUUCAGUAAUACAGUUGUAGACAUUAUAGAGUAGGUUUUAAUAGGAGGUAUUAAGUGAUGUGACUAAUAAAUUAUUAUUUGAGAAAGUAGGGUAGAUCUACCUUGGAAAAUAGUAAAUAAAGUAUAUAAUGCGAUGGGAGAGUUUAGGAAAAAUAAAUAGUGGCAUGGAAACAAAUGGACUGUUUCUCCCGGGAAUAUAGAGAUAGCGAAAUUUAAUAAAGCCAUAGAGUCGCUGAAAGAAGCGCACGUUAAUUCUACCAAUUCGAUUUGAAUAUGAAGGAGCGGUUUGCUACAAUGUAGGGCAACAUUACCCGGUAAACAGGAUAAAUAAAAUAAUGAAUUGGAACGAUCACAUAAAACUAUAACAAGAAGCUUAACUUACCAGCGUUUUAAUGUUAAUUAACAUUAUAUCAUCAGAAAUACAUUACGAUGGGGGAAGUGUAAGAAGUUGUAGAGCAGGGCUAACUAGUGUGGGGGAAAAUUAGUGUAAGAUGACACUGGAAUGCGAUAGCAGAGAAUGCAGAAAUACAGGAAUUUACACCCGUUUUAAAAGAACAACAACUGAUCGUUCUAAGGUUAGUACGAAUGAAGUUUUCACCAAGCGGUGUAUAGUCUCUGAUUAAUCAAAAAGUGGUUCAUAGAGAGUACAGUUUAUGUGAUGAAAUACGUACUAGAUCACGUUUUACCUAACUUAUAGUAAGGUACCGAUGUAAUUUACAAAUAGCCCCACUCGGAGUCGUUUUGCAUUAAAAUGGCGGUUUCAGUGGUGAUAAAAUGCGUGGAGAAGUUGUUAUUAGCGUCAAAAUACGGAAAAUAAACGUAUAUGAAAAAUCACAAGCGUGGUAAAAAUAGUUAGAAGAAAAGCAAAUUGUAGAGUAUGGGUGUAUUCAAUUUCUAAGGGUAGGAUACAGAUGGCCGAGCAGGGGGGAAUUGUGCGUUCUGUGUAUGGCUGGAGCUUCUGUCGCAUGCUCGGGAAAUGUAAGGGGAUUUUAGUAUAUGUAAUACUAUUAGCUUGCUGAUUUAGAGGGUGGCAUGGUGAAUGUUAACGAAAUGUACAUUUCUUUUCCAGAAAAAAAGGGGUUACAUGUUCUCUGGUCAAAAUGUCAUUGGAAACUGUAGUACUGAGGAAAGCAGUUAGAGAUAUUUUGGCCACUAAAAAUCUUAGUAUCUGGUUAAGGCUAUAACUGGAGUUUCGGAUAAGUGAGGCCGGCUCAUGUGUAUUCUUGGCCUAUAUGCGAUAGUGGGUUUCCUUUGGAAGGGUUUUUUCAGUUCAGUUUCAAAUUGGGUAUGCAGAAGGAUGGAAAUGUUUUUGAAAAUGUAUUUGGGUUGUUUCUAAAGAAAGGAGAGUGGAAACAUUUUAAUGGUGUCAAAUGCCCUGAACCCUAAGAAUUUCCCUUGAAGAUUGAUCAACUUCACUAGAAAUUGUUGGAACAAGUGGGAUUUAAUUAUAAAAUGAUUGAGAAACACCAGUCUCUAUUCAAAGUGUACAAUCACUUUGAAAUUCCAUUAUUUCCUUGGGAAAAAGAUGAAGAGUUGUAAUCUUGAAUUGACUAGUUAUUCAAAUAGGUUUAUUUUUAUUUAACAUGGGGUUAUAGGAGAACAUAUCAGUUCCCUGGGGUUAUGGUCUUUGGGUAAAUACAAAAUGUGCUUUGUUCAUGCUACAUAUAAAAUGGAAAUAUAUGUAAACAAGGGAUAACAGUUACUCCAAAUAGGUUAUUGGAGUGGGGGUUUCUGCAAGGGUUAUGAUGAUAACUACAUAAUCUGUAACUCAUCUGAGAGAUCGCUAGUAGAAUAAGGGAGUUAUCAUGGAAAUGUAAUGUCAGACUGCAUUAAUGCUUGGGAGAGACUAUCAUAACACCAAGUGGGUGUGAAACUCAAACCCACCCUACUGGCUGAAUAGUGUGGGACAACUGUGUCUGAUGACCUGUGAACUGUAUCUGGAAUGAUAUGUACUGGGAGAAGAAAGACUAAAGGGGAUUGGGAUAAUGACCUUUUAUUACUAGGCCACUCAUGACAGAAAAACAGAGGUAAAAGGGUGCAUGGUAAAAUAGAUAUUACUGGUACUAAAAGUUUUUAGUAAAAUGUUAAUUAUUAAAGGGAUGAUGAAUUGAAUUGAGAAGGUCAAAUUUGAGUUAAAGUAAGCACUAAGGACUGUUAUUUUGAAUAUUGGGUUGGACAAUUAAUAAACAACAUUUAGUUAUGUUUUGAAUAUAGGACUGUUUAAAUUUACUAGGCCUAGGGAAGCUCUGGAAACUAAUCCUGAGACAGGUUGAUUGACAGAACUUGCAGAAUAUUAAAUUAAAGGUUUUUGUUUCUUUUAUUUUACAAUAUCAUUGUAAUUGGAGUAAUAAGUAAUUUAAUAAAAAGUAUAGUCUGUUGUGUGAUAACACCCAAGGAUGAAGAAGACAUUACAAAUAGUGGUAAUUUAUAGCAAAUAUGCAGUUAUUAUAAUUUACUUUACCAUUUUUCUUGUUUGGUCAAUUUAUUUUUGGUUUGAGGAAAAUAAGAGUGUAUAUUUUUCCUGAGGAGGGACUGAUAUAAAUUGACUAAAAAUGAUUUGAGAAUGUUUAAGUAUGUAUCAAACUAUGGAAGGAAAUUAGAAGUAGUGACUUAUGUGUUAUGGGUUAGAAAAACUGUAACUACAUUGGGGGCUCAUAUGAAGGUUAUGGUAACAAGGGGGGGGUGUUAUUUCUAGAAACAGUGUAUAUUGAUAGACAAGAUAAUUCACAGAAAAGGAAGGACAGUUGGUCUUGUAAAAAUAUAGGGACAAUUCUAAAAGUAGAUAGAACAUUACACACACCUAGAUUAUGGUAAAAGUAAUAAGUAGUGGCAUUUUGAAGAAGCUUAGGACUUAGUUUUGUUAGGAUUGGAUAUUCUUCCAACUAGAAAACACUUGACUGAUUACAUGCAAUUCUUGCAGCAGUUACGGUAGGGACCAUAAUUUGGCUAUCAUUAUGAAUAUUUUUGUGGCAGGAGGCCAGGUAUUUAAGACAGAAUGUUUACAUAGGGCUGUUAUUUAAAAAUUAAGAUUUAGUGAUCCUGCUAUAAGAAGAAAGUCUGUUGUCAGGAAAUAACCCAUGUGUUAGUGUGUAUGUCCUCAGGAAAAAACAGCACAUAAGAGGCCAGAUGGAAGGGCAUAGGCUGAAUUCUGGAGACUGAGUGUACAUCAAGAUACAUCGGGCUGGGGAUAUACUUCUUACAGCACCUGCAGUGGUAAAGAUUGUCAUGUCUCUCUUUGGUGGGUGCAUAAGUCUCACAAGAAGUAAAGUCCAGCUGAAUAAUGGGUGAGCUUGAAAACACCAUGACAGAGGACGUGAAACAAAACAAAAGAGAGAGACUAGAUUCUACUGUAGACAUACUGGGUUGAGUUUGGGGGUUAUUUGUUUUAUUUGAUAAUGUAUCAUGUGAAUAAGGAUAUAUGUUAGGGUAGUUGUACUCUAAACCACAUGUUGAAGGCUCAAUGUGGAAGCCCAUUCCGUGUUGAAUUACUUUAAGAAGCAAUAAUGUUGAUUUAAGGUUAUGCACAUGUUUAUCAGUUGAAACAGAGCAGAUGGGGAACUAAGUAAAAAAUGACAUGGUUUGGGAACACCUCUCAGAACCUGCGGCCGAAAGGGGAAGACUGGAUGAAAGCACGAGGAAGCCAAUUAGGGCCUCCAUUUUUGUGGAGUCCAGCAGAAAAGUAUCCUGGAGGCAUAGAGUCAGGUGAAGAGAGAGUGGGAAUUGUCAUGGUCUCAGAUUUCAGUAUUCAUUAAUACAGUCAUGCAUAACACAUAACAUUGUCAAUACUGUUAUGUUUUGUCCUUUGUUUUCCAAGUCUUAUGUUUAGGAAACCAGAUGGAGAAGUGUUCUCCAGCUUCAGCUGGAAUGUCAGUUUGUGUGAUGAGUGAUGGAAGUAAGAGAAUGUAUGGUGUAAUCAUAGAACAGAGGCCAUAAGUCUCUAAGUAUGAAUGCCCCACAGAAAGAAGGCAGAAAUCUGAACCAGGAUGAGAGGUUCCACAUCUGAUGAUCCAAGGGGACCAGAAGGAUCUCUCCCAGUGAUACCAGGAGAUCGAGUCUACGUUUGAGUGUUCCGAAGGAAGUGGGAUCAGCCGAGGAGGGAAGGACCCUACGAGGUGGCAACAGCCACAAACACGGCCGUCCAAGUGAAAGGAAGCAAGACGUGGUAUCAUCUAAACCACUGCACCCGAGUCCCGACGGAGAGAAGGACACAACCAUACAGAGAUGAGGACACAGAGGAUGCUGAUUCACCAGAAGGGACCCCGGAGGGAGCAGGAGCAGCGGAAUCGAUCAAAGCGCCGGGGAGGAAUCAAGAAAAUGGCAGACCAGAUACAACGAGUGCAUCGGCUAACACACUCAGAAGAACCGACCAGGGAAAAAGAGCCUGAAAAGAAAAGAGACAAACAACCAAAGUUUCCUCCAGUAUGGCCAGAAAGCCCAGAAGUGGGAGGGGGUAACAUGUCUGCCACUCCUGAUGAUAUACUUGUUGGGGCAGGCUUUGUUGACGGAAGCCUUCUACAGUGGGACCCCGAGGUAUCGCCUAAAGAAGGGGAACAUCUCUUCCCUGAAAUGGACGCCUUCCCAGAUGGAAGCCCAGUUCGGGCUGAGGAGGGAACAACAUGCGAAGAGAGUGGAGGAGAAGCCUUAUCAGGAACAACAAGUGAAGAAAGCAGAGGAGAAGCCUUACCAAGAGCAGAAGGAGAAAUCUUGCAAGAUGAAAGAAAUGGGGAUUUCCCCAAAAUUGACUUUUCAGCUCUUGAAUUGUCUCCAUAAUGAACAAUUGAAGUUAGACCCAUAGAAGAACAAUGAUAUUGACAUAACAGAAGUAACAGUGAACGCUAGAAUAGCAACAACAGACUCACGCACAAUCAAGAUGUAGGGUGGAAACAGGAAGAGAAGAGAGGAACCAGUCAAACAAUCUAAAAAGACUGACAAGGUUAGAAUCUCUGUCCCACCUCAACAUAUAACUGAAACAGAAGAAUAGAAGACAAAAGGAUCAAACCCUUACCGGAGAUUGCAUUCGGUGGAUGGACAUAUAAUCGAACGAAGAGAGAAGUCAUUUGGGACUCAAAAGGAUGUGACCUGACGUUAACCAAAGAAGUAGACGAGUGGGUGCUCACCAUGAAUCAGAUUGAACCAGUUGAAGGUGAAGAAUUAAUAGGUGAAAUAAUGAGAACAAGAUUGGCUGAAGGGAGUAGUUCCUCAGUCAUUCAGAAUUGGUCUUACGCCAAUACCUAAACAGGAAGAGCCUGUGGUAGCUAGAAAGCAUCAGAACCAGGAGGGUUCUUUACUGACAUUUUGAACUUUUUGACUAACUUUAAUGACCUACCUCAAGAUAAGAACAUUGCAAAGAUGACAGACACAGACAUACCAGACUCUGAACCACUCAAGGACACCACAUGAAAUGAAUAGUGAAGAAUGAGUGGUACGAUUAGGCUAAGUAUACAGCAGAAAUAAACAUAGGAGGGACAAUUGUAUUUUGUGUAGAAAAUCACCUUUGUCUGAUCUUUUGAUAGUACCUGAACCUGCAUCAUUUGAAGAAUGCGUUAAAUGUAAAAUGUUCAAUAUUCAGAGAAAAUACUACAUUCCCUUGUGUGACAUAGAAUGUAGGAUUGCUCGAGGGAGCACUAGAGGCAGAACCAUAUUAAAUUAGACUGGGUUGGGAGUUCAAGGCAAGAGAUGAAGUUAAAUCUGGAUUUGAAUCUUAAUUUUUGUGGAUAACAUCAAAUAAGAACUUAGAGUGGAUUAAUUACAUAUACUAUAACCAACAGAGAUUCAUUAACUAUACUGACUCGGCUUUAACGGCGUUGGGGGAAUAGGUACAGGAUACCAGUAAAAUGUCUUGCCAAAAUAGACAGGCUCUCAAUUGGCUUUUUGCAGAGAAGGGUGGAGUUUGUUAUGUUCGGGGAUGAUUGUUGCACCUUUAUUCCCAAUAACACUGCGCCUAAUGGAUUCUUUGCUGUCGCUAUGGCUAAACUUAAAGGGUUAAGAAAAGAGGUUAAGAAAAAUGCUGGGGUGGACUCUCAUGUUUGGGAUUGGUUGGACUUAGCAUUGGGGAAAUAGGGAGCCAUGUUUGCUAGGACGGCCUUUAUGCUGGAAGGGGGGUUAUUGGCUCUGGGUAUUGUAUUUUGUUGUGUUUUACCCUGGGUGAAAUCACUUGUGAUCCAGACAACGGUUAAACAGAUGUUUGUAAGUAGAGCUGACACUCCGGUGAUAGUUGAUCCUGUGCCGGGUAGGCCAGGCCACUAUACUGAUGAAAAUGGACAGUUAUGCUGUCAUUCCAAAUUCAUAAGAAAGUCAACUGAUGCAUAUCCACAAAAAGGGUCAUUUCCGUAGUAAGUACAAGAGGUGUUAUGUAAGGUCUACUUUUGCUCACGGCCUUGUGUUUUAGUAUGUUUUGUCAAAUGUUUUUAUAGGUAUAUCAAUGAAUAUAUCUGGUUUCUUUUAAUUAAAAGUUAGUUUUGCCUUCUAAAAUGCUAGGUUAUAUUUAAAAACAUGUAGGUAACAGUGGGAUAUCCCGGUUACAAGUGUCUACGGACCAUGUCCUUAAUCUUCUAACAGAGAUUGGUAUUGAUGGUAUCACGGUUGUUGGAGAGGUGUCUGAGAGGGAGAAUCAUGUGGAAAGCUUAAAUUUAGAAUGAUGUGUCAAUUUUAUUUUGUAACUGCAUGGAGGCCUAGUGUUUUCUCAUAUUCAAUUUAUUAUUUGACUCAUUGCUUUAUUAUAUAUAUUUUUAUUUUUUGCGUAGCUGAGAACCUCAGACAAGGUUAUGUAUUUACAUGCUCAUGCUUUAACAAAAGAUAAUGUAUUAUUUUUUGUUUCUAUACCGAACUAGAUAUUUUACUCUUAUGAAAUACUAGAGAUGUUUGGUGUAGGUGAUUAGGAAGUUUUAUUUUUUAAUUAUUUUUUAUUUUUUUAUUUAAAAAUAUUUUUUUUGAUAAUCGACUGUUGAUAUUAUGUUCCAUAUGUCCUUUUUAAGUUUUUGGUGCUUAUUAAAGCACCAGAGGGGGGUUAUGUGGGAGAAAUUAGGUACAUAUAUGGAUAAAUAUAUUGUCCUAUAUAAUGGCAUUUGCCAUUCUGGUAAGGUACAUUGUCUAUUGUAUAGGACAGGAAGCCAGAGUGGGGCCAUGGGAGAGGGCAACACCUAGGGCAGCUGGACAUACAAAGGUCAGAGGUUAUCUAAGGAGGGGGUCAGCCAAAGGACCAAUUGAUGGAUUACAGACAUCAAUCACAUCACAGGAGACAAGUCUGUUUGAUCUUAGACAACCAUAUGAAGAGAAGGCGACCAGAACAGCUAGGCACCCUAAAGCUAAAGGAGAUGAAAGACACCAAAAGGGACACAUGGAGUUAAUUACAGGGUAUGAACACAGGCCACAGGAAAGGGGAAUGUAUAGUAUUUUUAGUAUAGCUGAGCAUGCUAAAAACAGAAGAGACACAUAGUCUGCUGACCCUAGAUAACACACAAACAGGAGAACGCAUUAAGCUGAGUGAAGGGUCAAAGCAAGGGUCUUGUCACCAUUAGGAUCUAAUGGAAAGCAGAUGGGGGUGUUAUUGGGCUGAACAAGCAGGAAGCACGGAUUGGGAUGUAACUUAAUUUGCAUAUGGGAGGGACUUAUAUGGUAGGUGUAUAACUCAGAGCGAGGGCUCUGAAAAAGUGUGUGUGUUCCGCGGACCGCUCCGGCUUAUGAUACUGUUGUAUUAAAAGUCUAUAUUGAUUUUCACAAA